rnacentral:rRNA from 1 species
AGUGAACGCUGGCGGUAGGCCUAACACAUGCAAGUCGAACGGCAGCACAGUAAGAGCUUGCUCUUACGGGUGGCGAGUGGCGGACGGGUGAGGAAUACAUCGGACUCUACUUUUUCGUGGGGGAUAACGUAGGGAAACUUACGCUAAUACCGCAUACGACCUACGGGUGAAAGCAGGGGAUCUUCGGACCUUGCGCGAUUGAAUGAGCCGAUGUCGGAGUAGCUAGUUGGCGGGGUAAAGGCCCACCAAGGCGCCGAUCCGUAGCUGGUCUGAGAGGAUGAUCAGCCACACUGGAACUGAGACACGGUCCAGGCUCCUACGGGAGGCAGCAGUGGGGAAUAUUGGACAAUAGGCGCAAGCCUGAUCCAGCCAUACCGCGUGGGUGAAGAAGGCCUUCGGGUUGUAAAGCCCUUUUGUUGGGAAAGAAAAGCAGCAGGUUAAUACCCCGCUGUUCUGACGGUACCCAAAGAAUAAGCACCGGCUAACUUCGUG